UACGUAGGGUGCAAGCGUUAAUCGGAAUUACUGGGCGUAAAGCGUGCGCAGGCGGUUGUGUAAGUCUGUCGUGAAAUCCCCGGGCUCAACCUGGGAAUUGCGAUGGGGACUGCACGGCUAGAGUGUGUCAGAGGGGGGUAGAAUUCCACGUGUAGCAGUGAAAUGCGUAGAUAUGUGGAGGAACACCGAUGGCGAAGGCAGCCCCCUGGGAUAACACUGACGCUCAUGCACGAAAGCGUGGGGAGCAAACAGG
rnacentral:rRNA from 1 species